rnacentral:rRNA from 1 species
ACUCCUACGGGAGGCAGCAGUAGGGAAUCUUCCACAAUGGGCGCAAGCCUGAUGGAGCAACACCGCGUGAGUGAAGAAGGGUUUCGGCUCGUAAAGCUCUGUUGUUAAAGAAGAACACGUAUGAGAGUAACUGUUCAUACGUUGACGGUAUUUAACCAGAAAGUCACGGCUAACUACGUGCCAGCAGCCGCGGUAAUACGUAGGUGGCAAGCGUUAUCCGGAUUUAUUGGGCGUAAAGAGAGUGCAGGCGGUUUUCUAAGUCUGAUGUGAAAGCCUUCGGCUUAACCGGAGAAGUGCGUCGGAAACUGGAUAACUUGAGUGCAGAAGAGGGUAGUGGAACUCCAUGUGUAGCGGUGGAAUGCGUAGAUAUAUGGAAGAACACCAGUGGCGAAGGCGGCUACCUGGUCUGCAACUGACGCUGAGACUCGAAAGCAUGGGUAGCGAACAGGAUUAGAUACCCUGGUAGGAUAGCG